UACGUAGGGGGCAAGCGUUGUCCGGAUUUAUUGGGCGUAAAGAGCGUGUAGGCGGCCAUACAGGUCCGUUGUGAAAACUGGAGGCUUAACCUCCAGACGUCGAUGGAAACCGUAUGGCUAGAGUCCGGAAGAGGUGAGUGGAAUUCCUGGUGUAGCGGUGAAAUGCGCAGAUAUCAGGAAGAACACCCGUGGCGAAGGCGGCUCUCUGGGACGGUACUGACGCUGAGACGCGAAAGCGUGGGGAGCGAACAGG
rnacentral:rRNA from 1 species